AGCAGCAGGAGGAGCAGGAGCAGGAGGAGGAGGAGGAGGAGGAGGAGCAGCAGCAGCAGCAGCUGGCCUGCUGCCACCUAUGAGCAGACGCAGUGGAUGCGCUCCCCCGCCCACCGUUUUCCCUUGGGUCCGCGCUGCCCCGGCCCGAGCUGCUGUCAUUAGGAGGGAAGGUCGAGACUGGACUUCCUGGGAAUAUCCUUUCUAAUCAUGUCCGGCGUCACAGGAGGUCAGAAACUAGAUCACCGCUGCUCACUGGAGGUGACCAAACCACGCCUGAGUGACGUUUGGAGGAACGGGUUGCUCUUUCUAGUGGAUUGUUUCAUCUGAUGACAUCAGAGCCCUUUUAUCUCGGAGAUCAUAUCAGUCUGCCCCUGUCCUAUGAGCACACUGCCUUUGAGUAACCGAGCAUGACGCAUGCCGGUCAGUUAAGGAAGAGAAUCGUCAGAGAAUGUGUCACAGGAGAUCUAAGACUAAACUGGGGCAAUCGGAAAGCAACCGUUCUGGCGGAGGG
rnacentral:lncRNA from 1 species